ACGCAGCUAAUAAAGGCAGCCACCAGGAGGCAAGAUAAUUCCUUGUAUCACCUCUCAAGUCUCUCUUCUCCCAACCUUUCAGAAAUCCUCGUCUUUAGUUAAUUUUUCCCCCUCUUUGUGCUCUUUUCCACUGCUAGAUAGAGAACCAUAAGCGGGCCUGUUUCUGGGUGUGGGAAAAGAUAACAAGGCAACUUUCGGAUCUCAGAUCUCAGAUUGAGAAGCAUGCAUACCUUCAAACUCCUGAUCUUGGCACGAGAUUAUUAAACAAAGCCUGCAAUCAAAGUAAAUGUAUUGGUGUUUUGAAUUGUACUCAAUCAAGAGUACCGAUCAAUCUUUUAGCGACAGUUGAAGCUCGCGGCUGGGAAGAUAAAAUGGAAAGCAGAAAUAGAGGAAGCAGAAUGGCAACCAGUUCAAGCAUGAGGCAUUCAAAAGCUCAAUCACAAGAGCAAGACCACAAAUCUUAUCCAAACACCUAUUUCAGCUUGGAAUCUUUUCUGCUACUCCUCUUCUUCACUGCAUCACUGUUGAUACUUCCUCUCAUACUACCUCCCUUGCCUCCUCCGCCUUCCUUGUUGCUUCUACUUCCCAUUGGCCUUCUCAUUGUGCUUAUGAUUCUAGCUUUUAUGCCUACAGACGUACGUAACAUUGCACCCUCUUGCCUAUAGACAUGUUGUAAGAGUUUGAUACACGUUCCUUCAUUGGUUUGAAUUAUAUCAAAAUAGUCCUCCCAGAAUACAAAGCAUAUGCUAGCUGUGAACAUAUUCUUGGUAGGUGCCAUCAAAUUAAGAAGAGGAGCUGUUUCUACUCUGUUAGUGAUCAACAUGACUAAGAGGGCUUUGGCAUAGUGCCUUUGGAGGAUGAUAUAUGGAUGAGUGUAGUCGUAGGGUUUGCAACAAGCAGAUAAAUAGCUCCAGCUAAGAAUCCAGAUGCUCCUGAAAAAAAAAAAGAAAAAAAGAAAAACAGAGUGCAAAUAUGCAGUUUUGAUGUUUUGUAAAUCCCCAGGAAGGAUUUUGGUGUUUUGUAAACAGAAGAGAGACAGACUUUAUCCUUCAGCAUCAUAUAAGAACCCUGAUAUACAGAGUUACAGCAGAACAAGUUUGGUGAGAAUAAUUGUUUAUCAUGAAUGCUGGAAAAAGAAGUUUCCUUCUUGAGGUACGGGUUUUAGGUAGUUGCAAGUAAUAAAUAAGUGGGCAUGAGGUUAGCAUCAAUGUAAGAGCAGAGAGGAAAGGUAUUGAUGAGUUUAGUUGUAAAUCUACUCAAUAUUCUGCAUGUAAAUACUUUGAUCUAAAUUGAUCAAGUCUGGUUUAUCAUAUACAUUAUAGGACUAUGUUUACAACUACUUGCGCUGGAUAUUUUUAACAAGGAAUCUGUACCGUACUGAG